AUUGAACGCUGGCGGCAUGCCUUACACAUGCAAGUCGAACGGCAGCACGGGAGCAAUCCUGGUGGCGGAGUGGCGAACGGGUGAGUAAUAUAUCGGAACGUGCCCAGUCGUGGGGGAUAACGUAGCGAAAGCUACGCUAAUACCGCAUACGAUCUAUGGAUGAAAGCGGGGGAUCGCAAGACCUCGCGCGAUUGGAGCGGCCGAUAUCAGAUUAGGUAGUUGGUGAGGUAAAGGCUCACCAAGCCGACGAUCUGUAGCUGGUCUGAGAGGACGACCAGCCACACUGGGACUGAGACACGGCCCAGACUCCUACGGGAGGCAGCAGUGGGGAAUUUUGGACAAUGGGCGCAAGCCUGAUCCAGCAAUGCCGCGUGCAGAAUGAAGGCCUUCGGGUUGUAAACUGCUUUGUACGGAACGAAACGGUGAGCUCUAAUACAGUUUGCUAAUGACGGUACCGUAAGAAUAAGCACCGGCUAACUACGUG
rnacentral:rRNA from 1 species